UAAUACGUAGGGAGCGAGCGUUGUCCGGAUUCAUUGGGCGUAAAGAGCUCGUAGGCGGCUUGAUAAGUCGGAUGUGAAACCUCCAGGCUCAACCUGGAGUCGCCAUCCGAUACUGUCAUGGCUAGAGUCCGGUAGGGGCCCACGGAACUCCUGGUGUAGCGGUGAAAUGCGCAGAUAUCAGGAAGAACACCGGUGGCGAAGGCGGUGGGCUGGGCCGGCACUGACGCUGAGGAGCGAAAGCGUGGGGAGCGAACAGGAUUAGAUACCCUGGUAGUCCACGCCGUAAACGUUGGGCACUAGGUGUGGGACCUUAUCAACGGGUUCCGUGCCGUAGCUAACGCAUUAAGUGCCCCGCCUGGGGAGUACGGCCGCAAGGCUA
rnacentral:rRNA from 1 species